rnacentral:rRNA from 1 species
GACUACUGGGGUAUCUAAUCCUGUUUGCUCCCCACGCUUUCGCACCUCAGCGUCAGUAUCGGACCAGUGAGCCGCCUUCGCCACUGGUGUUCUUCCUAAUAUCUACGAAUUUCACCUCUACACUAGGAAUUCCACUCACCUCUUCCGGACUCGAGAUCCGCAGUAUCAAAGGCAGUUCCGAGGUUGAGCCCCGGGAUUUCACCCCUGACUUACAAAUCCGCCUACGUGCGCUUUACGCCCAGUAAUUCCGAACAACGCUAGCCCCCUUCGUAUUACCGCGGCUGCUGGCACGAAGUUAGCCGGGGCUUAUUCUGCGGGUACCGUCAUUAUCGUCCCCGCCAAAAGAGCUUUACAACCCUAAGGCCUUCUUCACUCACGCGGCAUGGCUGGAUCAGGCUUGCGCCCAUUGUCCAAGAUUCCCCACUGCAGCCUCCCGUAGG